rnacentral:rRNA from 1 species
UGGGGAAUUUUACACAAUGGGGGAAGCCCUGAUGUAGCAACGCCGCGUGGAGGAUGACGGAUCUAGGUCUGUAAACUCCUUUUAUAAGGGAAGAAAUUUGACGGUACCUUAUGAAUAAGCACCGGCUAACUCCGUGCCAGCAGCCGCGAUAAUACGGGGGGUGCAAGCGUUACUCGGAAUCACUGGGCGUAAAGGGAGCGUAGGCGUUUUAUUAAGUCUUGAGUGAAAGCUCGCAGCUCAACUGCGGAACUGCUCAGGAAACUGAUAGAAUUGAGUAUGGAAGAGGUAGGUGGAAUUUCCGGUGUAGGGGUAAAAUCCGUAGAUAUCGGAAGGAAUACCAGAAGCGAAGGCGACCUACUGGGACAUUACUGACGCUGAGGCUCGAAAGCGUGGGGAGCAAACA